AUACGGAGGGUGCAAGCGUUAUUCGGAAUCACUGGGCGUAAAGGACGCGUAGGCGGGUUGGCAAGUCAGAUGUGAAAUCCUACAGCUUAACUGUAGAACUGCAUUUGAAACUGCUAACCUAGAGUAUGGGAGGGGGAGAUGGAAUUAGUGGUGUAGGGGUAAAAUCCGUAGAUAUCACUAGGAAUACCGAAAGCGAAGGCGAUCUCCUGGAACAUAACUGACGCUAAGGCGUGAAAGCGUGGGGUGCAAACAGGAUUAGAAACCCCAGUAGUCC
rnacentral:rRNA from 1 species